AAUAGCCGGUGAUUUACAGGUGUGUGUUGGGGCGGUAUUGUACUCUUUAAAUACCUGUCGUGUUUAAAGACCCAUAAACAUCGAGCAGAAGACAGUAAUAGAGACAAGUAUUGCCUUAACCGGUAACUAAUUCACAAAACACCUGCACUGUUGAAACACCUGUGAACAUCUGAUUGAAGACUUUAAUAAGUUCUGGCUUUAGCGGCAACUAACUACAGAAUAUUCUUGUAAAAACAGAUAUGGAAUUAACAGUAACCGCGUUAGACAUAUCAAGUAAGAGCCAGACAUAUGUAUGAGAACCAGUAAUGUACAAAGGUAAAUUAAUUAAACAAUUUUCACCUGUGCGUAGACCCCGUAGACAAUCACCUGGUAGACAUUAGAAGGAAAUAAUGUAACUAACUGUAGCCCUGUUAGAGGGAGUUAGGUAUCAAGUCAGACUAAAGAAUAUCAACUACGGCCGAUUGUGUUAGACAGCCACGUGUUAAAUCUGAUAAACCGUUUCUACUAUAAGUGAACCAUACCCGUGUUAACCAGCUAUAGACAAACACCUGUCGUUAUACACCUGUUAGAAAUAUCAAAACACCGCGAUAGGUAAAAGUUCAAUAAAAAGGCAACAGACUCAAGAACACCUGUUAGAGGAACACAAGUGACUCCCCUGUAUCUUACACACCUGUCAGAAGAGUCAGGGUGUAAGGGGAGCCAAGUGUGUGUCACAUCACCAAAUACAUACAUGACACAUCUGGUCAAAUCCACCCCAAGGGAGCUACACCUGAACCAGAGGCGAGGAGCUCCGUGACGUCACCCCCUGGUUGUGUUUACCUUCGUGACGUCACUCAAGUUGGAUACACUCUUGUGACGUCACUCCUCAAGCUGGACACACUCUCGUGACCUCAGUUUCCGACGGUGGACAGAACAGCUCCGGUCAGCUGACGUCUUCUGCGUGAGGGUGUGAAGGAGAGAGAGAGAGGUUUUGAAAAUAAUAUGGAUAUAAAAUCCAAUAUUUGGAUGAGAGAAGCUACAAUGAUUACAAGCAUUAUUGAGAAAAUGAAAAUAAACUUUACAUGAAAAUAAACAAACUUAAUAUAGACCGACAAACAAAAGUAUUUAUAUUUAUUAUAGAAAACUAAAAGAACCUAAAAAAAGUGAUUUUUUUUUUUGGUGUUAACAGUCUAGACAGAUCUAACUACGAGUGAAGUGUGACAAGUCUGAGCUAUAGAAGUGUGUGUUUCGAGACUCCUAUGUCUGUGUAUAGACGAUUGACCUCAUGACUACAUAGAAAAAUAAUGAAAAAGAUGUAUAUAAACUAAAUAACUGUUGGCUAUAUAAAGGUCGUGAAGUUGUUAUAAGCUACACAGCUCACCGUGCGAGAUAACCUGGCCAAUAUUUAUGAACUGGUUAAGUGAGACACUACAGUCCAAGAUAAUGAAUAAUAUAGUGAUUUUCUUAUGUUUAGACAAGUGAGUAACGAAAGAAAGAACUCGUAUAAGACUUGUCAAUCAGCUGUGAGACGUGUUAAACAGCUGUGAGACGCGUCAACCAGCUGUGAGACGUGUUAAACAGCUGUGAGACGCGUCAACCAGCUGUAAGACGUGUCAACCAGCUGUGAGACGCGUCAACCAGCUGUAAGACGUGUUAAACAGCUGUGAGACGCGUCAACCAGCUGUAAGACGUGUCAGCCAGCUGUGAGACGCGUCAACCAGCUGUGAGACGUGUUAAACAGCUGUGAGACGCGUCAACCAGCUGUAAGACGUGUCAGCCAGCUGUGAGACGUGUCAGCUAGCUGUGAGACGUGUCAACCAGCUGUAAGACGUGUCAGCCAGCUGUGAGACGUGUCAACCAGCUGUGAGACGUGUCAGCCAGCUGUGAGGAGUCAAGAUGGUGGCUGUACAGGUGUUGCUCAUGAAUUAUUUUCUUCUGGGAUUACACAACGGUCAACACCUAUCUAAUGACGUCUUAA